GCACGGAGUUAGCCGGUGCUUCUUCUGCGAGUAACGUCACAGUUGCUGGGUAUUAGCCAACAACCUUUCCUCCUCGCUGAAAGUGCUUUACAACCCGAAGGCCUUCUUCACACACGCGGCAUGGCUGCAUCAGGGUUGCCCCCAUUGUCCAAUAUUCCUCA
rnacentral:rRNA from 1 species